CAGGACAGAUGCUGAGAUAAGUAUUUCCUGGGUUUUCUGCUAGGAUUUUUGUAGUUUUAUUUUUUACAUUUAAGUCUUUAAUCCAUCUUGAGUUAAUUUCUGUAUAUGUGAAAGGUAGGGAUAUAGUUUCAUACUUCUGCAUAUGACUAGCAAGUUGUCCCAGCACCAUUUAUUGAAUAGGAGUCCUUUCCCACAAAAUUUUUUUUAUGUAUUUCUUUUUCUACCCUCAGUAUAUAACAUGCUUUCAGGUACAUGUUAUGCAUUUAAUAUACUGUUGAUUGUUUGAGAACAGUGUCUGAUACUCUGCCACGUUUAUUAGAUACUCCAACUCCAUCUGCUAAAGCAUUAUUAUUCGCUGAUGACUAUUUGG